ensembl:lincRNA Gm19590 predicted gene, 19590
GACGAGGGAGCACAGAAUCACCUCAGUAGCAGAACAGUGGAGCGGCUGAGAAGCUGGGUUUCUGAAAUCACCCAUUCACGAUGUCCAUAAUCCUGCCCACUCUUUUAAGGGGGACAUCAAAUAAAAGCUGGAAGCCAAGAGGUCUCUGGGAAAGCCCUCCUGUUGAGAACCGCAGGAAAAACCAACCGCGGAGGAGGAUGUCAUCUUGGAAUUGGCCCUUCGGAGGGAAGAGCACUGCUUUAAACAAACAGCCAAACAGGAUUCGAGUGAUGCUUUGAGAUGGCUCAGUUCCCUGCAUUGUGUCUAGAGCCUCGAAUGCAGCAGACGCUUAGCUCCAACGUGGCUGUAGUGGCUUCAUCCUCACAACUUCGGUCUUUGAACUGGAAGACUUUGGAUAACCGUCUCGUGGGCUUAUUCGCUGGCAGUUACAAAUCAGUCUGGUGGAUUCGUGUUCAGCUCACCCUGGGACACCCUUCCGCUAUUCCACAGACAUCAGGGACUGGGAGAGCAGGACACCAAGCUGAAAGGAAUUGAAAGCCCUGAGGAGCCAAGGAAAUCCAGGGAGGUCAGACGCCAAGUCUUACAUUUCCUCUGGGCAGAAGCUACUGAUGGCAGGAUUUUAGAUUGGAGGAGACUGGGCUGGCAUACCAUACAUGGAUUGAACUCAGCUUUGUCAAGCUUGGUGGCAGUCACCUUUACCUGCUGAGCCAGCUCAUCAGCCCAUGAUCUAUCUACCUUUGUAAAAAUAUGAAAAGGAGAAAACUGGAGCUGAAGAUGUGACUUAUAGGUUAAAAGCACUUGCCACUCUUUCAGAGGACCCAGGUUCAGUUCCUAUCGCUCACAUGGUGACUCACGACCAUCUGUAACCCCAGCUUCAGAGGAUCUGAUACCCUCAUCUGGCCUCCACGAACACCAGGCACUCACGUGGUGCACAUACAUGUAUGCAAGCAAAGCAUUCAUAUGUAUAAAAUAAAAAUUAAUAAAUCCUUUCUUGAAAAUCCUUCAUUUUGCUGAUGGGAUAUACUUGCAUUUUAAUAGUAUUUUUUUGUAAAAUUAAAAAAUAUUAGAUUGUAAUACAAAAGAUGGAAUCAACUCCUCUUGGUUGUUCUUUAUAUGAGUGCCUUGGUACUCAAGGACCUACCGAUUGCUAUUAAAUAAAUGUUUACAAAUGCUUUUAAAAUAAAAAUAAAUAAAU